rnacentral:tRNA from 1 species
GUCAGAAUGGCCGAGUCGUCUAAGGCGCCAGACUCAAGUUCUGGUCCACGAAUGUGGGCGUGGGUUCGAAUCCCACUUCUGACA